CACCGGAUACUGAGUCUUGCUACGGAGAAGCUUUCACCAGUGAAGAGAGGAAUCGAGCGAGCCAUGUAUGUGUCUCGUCGUGAUGCUGAAGUUGGUUACAUCGUUCGUUUUGAGGAAACCAGAACCGUGCUUAAUGAUGAAAGAACUCUAGGCACUAGCCACAGAUGUGCUCUUUGGUCUUCUCGACAAACAUUGCUGAGACUUCCCUAACUAUAGAUGGUUUUGCCAACCCACGAAGAAUCAUGUUUUGAAUUACUUGGGAGCAAUGGAUGAUGAAGGUAACUUGACAAAGACAGGUGAGAUAAUGAUCACUGAGUUCCCCUUGGAUCCACAGAUCCUGUAUUCAACUUCUCAAAUGAGAUUCUCUCGGGUUUCAGCCAUGCUCUCAGAAAUCCUAUACUUCGUUAUACAUUGGUUGGUGGAUGCACACAGGACAUGCAGCCAUGUAUGUGUCUUGUGUGUUGUUGAAUUUAGUUACAUCGUUCGUUUUAAGGACACUAGAACGCUUAAGGACGCUUAAGUAAUCUCUGUCUUUGUCCCAAAAAUAAAAUGGAUGAUGAAGGUAACUUGACAAAGACAGGUUAGAUAAUGAUCAGUAAGUUCCCCUUGGAUCAUCCUGUAUUCAACUUCUCAAGUGAGAUUCUCUCGGUUUCAGCCAUGCUCUCAGCCUAUAGAGGAUCUCAAAAAGCAUCAGAUGAAGCUAAACUUAGAUUUGGACACAUUGAUGGAGAUCAUCUAACAUUGUUGUUGAAGCGUCUACCACGCUUUUAAGCAAAAACAAUGAAGAUCCCAAUUGGUGCCUCUGAAAAAUAUGCAGACAAUGUUAGACAGCAGCUCUUCCAGAUAGAUAACAACAACAAUGUGGUUCUCUGUUUUAAAAGUCUUCACUUUGCAAGUUGCUGAAAGCAGAGGUGUACACUGACUACAUUCAAGAUCAUAUUGCUCCAAGUGGUUAUAUCAAGAUCCCUACCGAAAUGUCAAAGUAUUUGGAAUACUCCAAGUAUCUGCCAAAGCUCAACAACGAGAGACCUAACAAGAGGAACCCCAUUUUUAAAGACCGGUUCACUAGCUUGCACAACUUGGUCCUCGUCAUGGUGCUUCUCUUUCUUAAACAACCUGAAGAUGUGCAGCACUCAUUUUAACUACUAUUAUCAACCAUGCUUGCCGGAUAUUUCAUGCAAGUGGCUCACUUA